ensembl:lncRNA
GGGAUACUGCUGGGGGCAGCCAUUUUGAACACAAGCGUGGGAUACUGCUGGGGGCAGCCAUUUUGAACACAAGCAUGGGAUACUGCUGGGGGCAGCCAUUGAACACUGGAUUAAGGUGCCUAUGCCAACCUCUGCCCACUGAAUAAAGGUGCCCAUGCCAACCUGUGCCCACUGGAUAAAGGUGGGAGGUUGACGAGCUGAUGGAGACAGCGUGAUGCUCUGGUCCGUGUUCCGCUGGGUGUUCCGUGUUCCGCUGGGUGUUCCGUGUUCCGCUGGGUGUUCCGUGUUCCGCUGGGUGUUCCGUGUUCCGCUGGGAAACCCGGGGUCCAGCCUUGUGGGAGUCAAAUGACACCAACCUCACC